GGCGAAGUUGCUAGAAGAUACGUAAGAGGGCCGCAGUGGAGAUGGAACAACCAAAGGACGGGGCUGGGCCUGAAGGGAACAACCUGUCCCUGCCGUCAUCUGGGACCGAGCCAUGGCCCCCUGCGCCUCUCCCAGCCCCUCCACCCUUGCUCCUGAGCUCCACAGACCCCACCCACCUGGGGCUCCCGGAGAGCGUGGCCUCUGUCACCGUGCCCAUACGCCUGGACACCCUCUCCUGCCUCCUGCACAGCGCCCUGCUGGGGGCCUACACCUUCCAACAGGCCUUGCCCUCUUGCCCCUGCUGCCCCCAGGCAGGCCACUCCCAGCCGGGGGCAGUUAGGAGGCCUCCCAGGGGACGCGGAGGCUGGGAAGUCAGGCACAGGCCAGGCUGGGGCCGAGGCCCGCAUCGACGGGGCCUCGGGAGAGCUGAGCAGCCAGAGAGGGGCCGGGCGGGGGGCCCUGGGGCUGGCCCCAGGACCCCACCAAUGACACUGCCAUCACCACCAACACUGCCUGCCCAGGAUGGGAAGAAGGAAGCUCGAGGUCCAGAGCCGCCCCUGGAAACACCACUGGCUGCUGAGGACUGGGAGACAGAGUACUAGGACCUUGGAGGGUCCGGCACCUGAGAUUGCAGUCACCCAGGAGGGUUUUCCUGGGGCCCAGAGUGAUCUCAGCCCUGUCAGAAGAACCCCAAGAAACAUCUUCCAUCCUCCCCUCUCCCCAAAACCACGAUCCCAGGAGUAGCUCCUGUGAGGCACUUGGUGAACCUGACCUAAGUCACCUGAAUCCCAAGUGAGAAGAAAACCCUAAACCUCGUACCCAGGCCUGUCUCCUUGAUGGCCUCAACCCCAUUCCCAAUGCCAUCCCCAACCACAACCACAAUCCUUACCUCAUUCUCAACCCCCAGGGCUCCUCCAACCCCAUUCCCUACCCUCUCCCUAAUCCCAAAGCCACUCCUACCUGCCUCUCUCUUCCCCACUCUCAAUACCCUAUUCCCAAACCCAUUCAUUCCCAUCCCUGUCACCAGUCCCAGCUCCACUUCUGUGCCUCAACCCUAACCCACCCUCUUUACCAACCCCUUUCUCCUCAUUGCCUGUGUACCUCAGCCCAUCUUUAAUGUCCUCUGAAUCUACAGCCCCAAAGAGCUCCAUCCUCAACCUCAGCCACAGCCCUGUGUCCAUCCCCACAAAGAACCGCAUUGAUCCCACAUAUCCAGACACCUGUGACUCCCCACCCCACUGCCUGCUCUUCAGGUAGAAAGCCCUGGUUGAACAAUAAACG
rnacentral:lncRNA from 1 species